rnacentral:rRNA from 1 species
UACGUAGGGUGCAAGCGUUUGUCCGGAAUUACUGGGCGUAAAGAGUUCGUAGGCGGUUUGUCGCGUCGUUUGUGAAAACCAGCAGCUCAACUGCUGGCUUGCAGGCGAUACGGGCAGACUUGAGUACUGCAGGGGAGACUGGAAUUCCUGGUGUAGCGGUGAAAUGCGCAGAUAUCAGGAGGAACACCGGUGGCGAAGGCGGGUCUCUGGGCAGUAACUGACGCUGAGGAACGAAAGCGUGGGUAGCGAACAGG